rnacentral:rRNA from 2 species
UGCAAGUCGAACGAGUUCUGAUUAUUGAAAGGUGCUUGCAUCUUGAUUUAAUUUUGAACGAGUGGCGGACGGGUGAGUAACACGUGGGUAACCUGCCCUUAAGUGGGGGAUAACAUUUGGAAACAGAUGCUAAUACCGCAUAAAUCCAAGAACCGCAUGGUUCUUGGCUGAAAGAUGGCGUAAGCUAUCGCUUUUGGAUGGACCCGCGGCGUAUUAGCUAGUUGGUGAGGUAACGGCUCACCAAGGCAAUGAUACGUAGCCGAACUGAGAGGUUGAUCGGCCACAUUGGGACUGAGACACGGCCCAAACUCCUACGGGAGGCAGCAGUAGGGAAUCUUCCACAAUGGACGCAAGUCUGAUGGAGCAACGCCGCGUGAGUGAAGAAGGCUUUCGGGUCGUAAAACUCUGUUGUUGGAGAAGAAUGGUCGGCAGAGUAACUGUUGUCGGCGUGACGGUAUCCAACCAGAAAGCCACGGCUAACUACGUGCCAGCAGCCGCGGUAAUACGUAGGUGGCAAGCGUUAUCCGGAUUUAUUGGGCGUAAAGCGAGCGCAGGCGGUUUUUUAAGUCUGAUGUGAAAGCCCUCGGCUUAACCGAGGAAGUGCAUCGGAAACUGGGAAACUUGAGUGCAGAAGAGGACAGUGGAACUCCAUGUGUAGCGGUGAAAUGCGUAGAUAUAUGGAAGAACACCAGUGGCGAAGGCGGCUGUCUGGUCUGUAACUGACGCUGAGGCUCGAAAGCAUGGGUAGCGAACAGGAUUAGAUACCCUGGUAGUCCAUGCCGUAAACGAUGAAUGCUAGGUGUUGGAGGGUUUCCGCCCUUCAGUGCCGCAGCUAACGCAUUAAGCAUUCCGCCUGGGGAGUACGACCGCAAGGUUGAAACUCAAAGGAAUUGACGGGGGCCCGCACAAGCGGUGGAGCAUGUGGUUUAAUUCGAAGCAACGCGAAGAACCUUACCAGGUCUUGACAUCUUUUGAUCACCUGAGAGAUCAGGUUUCCCCUUCGGGGGCAAAAUGACAGGUGGUGCAUGGUUGUCGUCAGCUCGUGUCGUGAGAUGUUGGGUUAAGUCCCGCAACGAGCGCAACCCUUAUGACUAGUUGCCAGCAUUUAGUUGGGCACUCUAGUAAGACUGCCGGUGACAAACCGGAGGAAGGUGGGGAUGACGUCAAAUCAUCAUGCCCCUUAUGACCUGGGCUACACACGUGCUACAAUGGAUGGUACAACGAGUUGCGAGACCGCGAGGUCAAGCUAAUCUCUUAAAGCCAUUCUCAGUUCGGACUGUAGGCUGCAACUCGCCUACACGAAGUCGGAAUCGCUAGUAAUCGCGGAUCAGCACGCCGCGGUGAAUACGUUCCCGGGCCUUGUACACACCGCCCGUCACACCAUGAGAGUUUGUAACACCCGAAGCCGGUGGCGUAACCCUUUAGGGAGCGAGCCGUCUAAAGGGUAA